UACGGAGGGUGCAAGCGUUAUCCGGAUUCACUGGGUUUAAAGGGAGCGCAGGCGGAUUGGUAAGUCAGUGGUGAAAUACCUGAGCUUAACUCGGGAACUGCCAUUGAUACUAUUAGUCUUGAAUAUUGUUGAGGUAUGCGGAAUGGGUCAUGUAGCGGUGAAAUGCAUAGAUAUGACCCGGAACACCAAUUGCGAAGGCAGCAUGCUAAACAAAGAUUGACGCUGAGGCUCGAAAGCGUGGGGAGCAAACAGG
rnacentral:rRNA from 1 species